rnacentral:misc_RNA from 1 species
UAAUAGGAGUUUAAAAAAGAAAACAAUUGAUUUUGAUAGUUGUUAAUACUUUUUUGACUAUUAAAAUCAUUUGCGCAAAAUGAAUUAGGCUGUUCGCCUAUGUUUUUUUUAUUUAAAAGUUUUUUAUAUUGUGUAAGUGCAUUUGGAGAUC